CUGGACCUGUCUGAAAACGGCCUGCAAUCACUUCCCGACGAGAUUGGGAGUCUGUAUAACUGUAUGGAGCUGGAUCUCUCAGGGAAUCAAUUGAUGGGCGUCCCUGAUUCACUUGCCAAUUUGCGGUCUCUGCAGCAGCUGCAUCUUCACAGCAAUCUCCUGGUGACUGUCCCCGCAUCCCUUGCCAGCCUUCCCAACUUGUCCAGGCUUGACUUGCAGAACAACUGGCUCCGCUCCAUCCCCCCCCGAGAUCCAGCACUCUCCCUUCAUGCACCUGCGGGGCAAUCCGCUAGGAGAACCUGAGAUCCCCCUGCAAUCUGAUGAAUCCAGCUCAGGAGAGCUAGGAAGAGUGUUCCUUGUACCCAAUGAGGACAGGUAUUUCACGCAGUGUCUCUGUUAUUUUUGUUACUAUUUAUUAUUUUGUAGUGCAGU